CAAAUCUCAGGUUUCUGUCUGCCAGGUAACACUACCCCUCUAAGCAGCAGAGGGCUUCUGCUGGUAUAUAGCAGAUGAUAGCACAUACAGAGAGUCCAUCACUUUUAUCAAUCCUACUAAGCCUUGCAAUAACCAUUCUGGAUAAGUAUUUGAAUUCUGCUAACCAAAAUCUGAACUAACUUAAGCCAAUAGCCCUCUGUUCCCCCACCCCUCCAGGCCUCAGUGUUUUGGAAAAUGCUUACUCCCUGACAGUGCAUGCGAAUGUGUACAUCUGUGGCUUUCAUGGGUACUACCAAGGACAAGUAAUCAGCCAAGCUCCAUGUUCCUUAUUGGUGCAUGAAAGAAUUGAUGGAUCUCUUAAGUGUGGUAGGAAGGAUGGGCUGUCCAAGCCAAACUCAUUGGGAAAUGUAGAAACUGAGAUGUAUGUGAAGACAGCACCCAGGAGAAGGGGUAGGCAUGUAGGCAAAGGUGGAUGAGUGGGAUGAGGAGGUGUGCUGGGCCAACGAUCCAACAGGCAUGUCACCAAAUAGUCCUGUAGAAUAAGCACUGUGGAACUUCCCUUGUUAUGUGCCCCUUUUUCAACAAACUCCAUGUCACCCAUGGGAAGGGGGGGAAAGGGACCCAACCACCAACUUGCUCCUGGAAAUGGACAUAUUGAGGGAUACUUCGUGGGAUCCUCCACACCCCACAGUGAAAACAAUGAUCCCAGAGAUGGGGAGGAAGGAGAUUUGUGAUGCUGAACCCAAGAACCCUUGGGCAGCUAGCCACUGUUACAACGGCAAGGACAGCCAAAGCCAGGGUCAGUCUCAGCCAAUGGAGAGCAGCAAGGACUGAGGAAGGCAGCUUUGGUGACACCUUCAAUUGCAGCAGCAAGAAUGACAGGCAUGAAACCACAGAAGGGGUGUUCCAGAGAGAAGAUGGUCUUGGAGCUGCUGAAAUGCAGUUAGUCAGCCAAGAGGCAGUAGAGCCAACAAACUUUGGGCAAAUAAGCCAGGGUGGAUGCACACUACUUAACAUUGUUGGAAGGGGAAGAGAAUGACAACUUCAUAUCUAUUUACCUGUUAGAAAAAGUUCAAGAAGCUUCUUUUUACCUUCCUUAGAACUUUGCAAAUCUCAAUGCUAACAGUCUCAGAGUUGUUUAAUGACUUGUUUGGCGGUGGGGGGGAGGAGGUACAUGCAGUUUGUUUAGGCUGUCUGUUUUUUCAGGUUUUAUCUACUUGAGAAUGUUUGAUGUUACCUUAAAUAAAAACUUGUUUAACUCCA